rnacentral:rRNA from 1 species
GUCUCCACCCGAGACUCAGUGAAAUUGAACUCGCUGUGAAGAUGCAGUGUACCCGCGGCAAGACGGAAAGACCCCGUGAACCUUUACUAUAGCUUGACACUGAACAUUGAGCCUUGAUGUGUAGGAUAGGUGGGAGGCUUUGAAGUGUGGACGCCAGUCUGCAUGGAGCCGACCUUGAAAUACCACCCUUUAAUGUUUGAUGUUCUAACGUGGACCCGUAAUCCGGGUUGCGGACAGUGUCUGGUGGGUAGUUUGACUGGGGCGGUCUCCUCCUAAAGAGUAACGGAGGAGCACGAAGGUUGGCUAAUCCUGGUCGGACAUCAGGAGGUUAGUGCAAUGGCAUAAGCCAGCUUGACUGCGAGCGUGACGGCGCGAGCAGGUGCGAAAGCAGGUCAUAGUGAUCCGGUGGUUCUGAAUGGAAGGGCCAUCGCUCAACGGAUAAAAGGUACUCCGGGGAUAACAGGCUGAUACCGCCCAAGAGUUCAUAUCGACGGCGGUGUUUGGCACCUCGAUGUCGGCUCAUCACAUCCUGGGGCUGAAGUAGGUCCCAAGGGUAUGGCUGUUCGCCAUUUAAAGUGGUACGCGAGCUGGGUUUAGAACGUCGUGAGACAGUUCGGUCCCUAUCUGCCGUGGGCGCUGGAGAACUGAGGGGGGCUGCUCCUAGUACGAGAGGACCGGAGUGGACGCAUCACUGGUGUUCGGGUUGUCAUGCCAAUGGCACUGCCCGGUAGCUAAAUGCGGAAGAGAUAAGUGCUGAAAGCAUCUAAGCACGAAACUUGCCCCGA